rnacentral:misc_RNA from 1 species
GAUGAAGAACGCAGUGAAAUGCGAUAAGUAAUGCGAAUUGCAGAAUUUCCGUGAGUCAUCGAAUCUUUGAACGCACAUUGCGCCCAUUGGCAUUCCGAUGGGCAUGCCUGUUCGAGCGUCAUUAUCCUCCCUCAAACCCCUGGGUUUGGUGUUGGACUGUGUGGUGCCUGGCACCACUGGUCUCAAAGACAAUGACGGCGUCCGUGGGACCCUCGGUGCAACGAGCUUUUCGAAGCACGCGUCGAGUGGACAGUCUCUCCGGGCCGGUCACCUCUCCAAUUUUUCUCAGGUUGACCUCGGAUCAGGUAGGAAUACCCGCUGAACUUAAGCAUACAAUAAGCGGAGGA